GUGCCAGCCGCCGCGGUAAUACGUAGGGUGCAAGCGUUGUCCGGAAUUAUUGGGCGUAAAGAGCUCGUAGGCGGUUUGUCACGUCGGAUGUGAAAUCCCGGGGCUCAACCCCGGGUCUGCAUUCGAUACGGGCUGACUAGAGUUCGGUAGGGGAGACUGGAAUUCCUGGUGUAGCGGUGAAAUGCGCAGAUAUCAGGAGGAACACCGGUGGCGAAGGCGGGUCUCUGGGCCGAUACUGACGCUGAGGAGCGAAAGCGUGGGGAGCGAACAGGAUUAGAAACCCCCGUAGUCC
rnacentral:rRNA from 1 species